rnacentral:rRNA from 1 species
GACGAACGCUGGCGGCGUGCUUAACACAUGCAAGUCGAACGGAAAGGCCCUGCUUUUGUGGGGUGCUCGAGUGGCGAACGGGUGAGUAACACGUGAGUAACCUGCCCUUGACUUUGGGAUAACUUCAGGAAACUGGGGCUAAUACCGGAUAGGAGCUCCUGCUGCAUGGUGGGGGUUGGAAAGUUUCGGCGGUUGGGGAUGGACUCGCGGCUUAUCAGCUUGUUGGUGGGGUAGUGGCUUACCAAGGCUUUGACGGGUAGCCGGCCUGAGAGGGUGACCGGCCACAUUGGGACUGAGAUACGGCCCAGACUCCUACGGGAGGCAGCAGUGGGGAAUAUUGCACAAUGGGCGGAAGCCUGAUGCAGCAACGCCGCGUGCGGGAUGACGGCCUUCGGGUUGUAAACCGCUGUCGCCUGGGACGAAGCGUGAGUGACGGUAAUGGGUAAAGAAGCACCGGCUAACUACGUG